GGAUAAGCAAAGGGGACAUGUCUGGUCCCACAGGACUGAAAGACAGGAGGAAACAGUGGAUCCAGCCAGGUGCCCAUGCACACAUGGCCCACCUGUGUCUCCUGUGUAUUCCAAGUGGCUGUCCUGCUCUGCUGGUGGUGACUGUCCCGGGGCCCCAUGUGCCUGAAGCACCGGGACGCUCCACCCAGGUGGGGGUCACAGCCUGGAAGGAACAAGUCAAACCCAUGGUCCUCGAGGCCUGGGGCUGGGGUUGGGGAAGCUUGAAGCCCCAUGUCCUGGAGCUCACUGGCCCCUAAGAGUCGGGGUACUGGCCACCUCCCAGCCCCAGGUGCUCAGGAGUGCCCCGCGGUGGGGCUCUGCGACACUGCACACCAAGGUGGAAUUUUCCAAACAGCCUUGUUUUCAGAGGCGGAGCCCAGCCACCAGCUUCUUCCGGCAUCCAGAGCCAAGCCCUAUUUAGCAGCCUGUGGGGAUCAGGUCCCACAUGGGGCCUGUGGCCAGGUUGAAGACAGGAGCCCCUGCCCCAGGCACCGCCCUGCCUCUGCUUCCUGGGCCCUGGCAGAGAGAGCCUGCUGGUCACUCAGGAGGAGCCUACAGCCCUGCAUAAUGUGUGCCUAGGUCCCCUUCACCCUGACACUGACUGAGUCAGGGAGUGGAUACUGAGGCCCAGAUGAGGCCACUCAGCGACUGGUUGGUCACAGCAACAAACCCACCUGGCUCCUCCAGGGCUCGGAGACCCCACUUCUGUGUCAUCUAAAGAGCCUCUGUCUCCGCGUGGCCUCGUGUCAAGGUGGCUGUGCCACUGGGCUCUCGUGUUGUCGCUCCUGAGAAACCCCACGGCUCCAGCCGCACCACCAGCCUGGACUUCACCAGGUCCCGAGGGGCUGUGAGGGGGAACUUGGGUGCAGAAAGGGACAUACCUUCUAAAGAAGGGGGUGCCAGGGGUGGGGUGUCGCCCAUUUCCUCAGACUCCCCAACGAUGCGGAGGGAUGUGGGGAGAGCAGUUAAUGGUGUGUUUUGAUUUUUAUUAGCCCGUGUUUGCAGUAAUAAGGGUCACUUUCUCCUGGGGAGUAACAGCUUCUUUUCCCCUCCCUUCUGUCCCCCCUCCUGCCAGCUCUUGGUCCCUUCCCGAACAUUUGCAAAAGAUCUUUCUCGCUAUUCGCUGUAUCUUUUAGUUCCCUAUUUAUCCUUUGGGUUUCUCAUGUGAGAGAAACCAAGCUAUAUUCAAGCUUGUGUGUCUGAAUUCACGUAAGAUUACGGUCUCGGUCUCAAGGUGCCUCCAUUUCCUACAGACGACUCAAGCUUAUCCUUCUUUAUGCCAGAGUAGCACUCCACUGUGUGUAAAUACAUUUUCUUUUUCCAUUCAUCUAUUGAUAAGACACAUUGGCUGCAUCCAAAAUUUAGUUGUGAAUUGUGCUGCCAAGAAUAUGGGUAUGAAGAUUCUCCAGAAUUUGAUUUUUUUUGUUUGUUUUUUGAGACAGGGUCUCACUGUGUAGUUGAGACCGACCUGGAACUCACUGUGUAGCCCAGGCUGGCCUCGAACCUACAGUGAUCCUCUUGCCUCAGCCUCCCAAGUGCUGGGAUUACAGGCGUGCGCCACCACACCCAGCUUAUUUGGUUUCUUAAUGACAGCCAUUCUCUCCGGAAUAACAUGCUUAGUUGGUGUAGAAGAAUAAAACAUUACUCGCAGGGGUUUGGGCCCUUUGAUGUCUGUUGCAGGACUGAAUGUUUGCGGACCUUGCUUGCUACCUCUUAGAGCUAGCUCUGGAGAGCUGUCCUGGUGGACUCACUUCUUUCAUCCUUCAGCUGUUUUUUUCUUCAUUGAGUUUAUUGG
rnacentral:lncRNA from 1 species